CAGUAGCCGCGGGAAUACGGAGGGUGCAAGCGUUAAUCGGAAUUACUGGGCGUAAAGCGCACGCAGGCGGUCUGACAAGUCAGAUGUGAAAUCCCCGGGCUUAACCUGGGAACUGCAUUUGAAACUGGCAGGCUAGAGUCUUGUAGAGGGGGGUAGAAUUCCAGGUGUAGCGGUGAAAUGCGUAGAGAUCUGGAGGAAUACCGGUGGCGAAGGCGGCCCCCUGGACAAAGACUGACGCUCAGGUGCGAAAGCGUGGGGAGCAAACAGGAUUAGAUACCCCAGUAGUCCCUGUCUCUUAUAC
rnacentral:rRNA from 1 species